CACCAUCAUUAAAGAAGAACUAACGAGUCUACUUGAUUCUAUGUCUGUCUCUGUAAUAACGUAAAAUAAAACGAGAAAUGGGAUUCAUUCACAUCACAUCUCCUCACUUUACGUACAUCAAGCACGACCGAUUCACCUACUACUAACUUUAGUCAGAUAGGUCGGAAGGAGAUGAAGAUUUCCUUUAUAAUCCUGCACUUUGUUUUCCUAUGCAAGUAAGUAAUCCAUUCAACAUUACGGUAGAGAGAGAUCACGAUGAUGAUAUGAAUAUCAGGGUAAAAAAUACCGAGUCGAAAUCUCCACCAAAAAUCCAUCGCACAACAGAAUCUAAAUACACUGGGAAAGCUUGCCUAUGCAGAACUUUACGAAAAAAGAGGGUAAAAAAAUUGUGACACUAAUUUCAAGACAUAAUUAUGUAUGCCUCGGUAUAGUAAAGAUUGACAACAAAGCAUUUCUUGUUUAAUGUCGCAUUUCACGGAACCAAAUUGCAGCACCUUGUAAACGCUCGCGUAAAAAUAAAAACUAAAUAUGUAAUUGUGUAUGCAUCUGGUUCAGACAAUUCGGUGUGAAGUUAUAAAUACUGAUGUUUUUUACAUAAAUAAAUAAGUACGGGUAAUUGGGUUGGUAUUAUUGCGCGUUGAUUUUAUUCAAGUCUAUUUAUCAUUUUGUGCUCGCCUUUAAAUGCAAGUCUGUUAUUUAAUUGUCUUUUCUUCAAAUUUUCUCGUUAUAAUGUAAUAAUACAGGAAUUUCAUGAAAAGUUUAAACA